GUGAGCCCUGCAUCAAUACUUUUACGGAUGAGCCCUGCAUCAAUAUAUCAAAUACACAACACAUAUAUAAAAAUAUAAUAUAUUGAGUAUGGGGAACACAAUCAUUAUAAUUAAAUAUGUGGGCAAAUAGGCAAUAAGACAUAAAAAAAACAGCCACAGAAUGUCAUAGCCAACCGGACAUACACAUAGGCUGUGUUAAUACUUUGUAUGCCUCAGGUCUAUAUAUACACAGUGCCUUCGGAAAGUAUUCAGACCCCUUGACUUUUUCCACAUUUGUUACGUUACAGCCUUAUUCUAAAAUGUAUUAAAUAUUUUUUCCCCCUUAUCAAUCUACACACAAUAACCAAUAAUGAAGCAAAAAAUAUGUUUUUAGAAUAUUUACCUCCCUGACCAAGGCCCUUCUCCCCUGAUUACUCAGUUUGGCCGGGCCAGCACUAGGAAGAGUGUUGGUGGUUCCAAACUUCUUCCAUUUAAGAUUGAUGGAGGCCACUGUGUUCUUGGGGACCUUCAAUGCUGAAUAAUGAUCACACAGACAUCUGCGUGAUCACACAGACAUCUGCGUGAUCACACAGACAUCUGCGUGAUCACAGAUACAUCUGGAGCAGCUGGAACAUGCAUGCUUUAGUGUUGCUUGCCUCAUAGCAUAAAAUGCAUUUAACUUGUCUGGUAGGCUCACGUUACUGGGGAGAUCGCGGCUGGGUUUCCCAUUUUGUAGUCAUACCAGAGAAUCUUGUUUAUCAUGGGUCGAGUCCUUUCGGUGCCAUUUGGCAAACUCCAAGCGGGCUGUCUUGUGCCUUUUACUGAUGAGUGGCUUUCGUCUGGCCACUCUACCAUAAAGGCCUGAUUGGUGGAGUACUGCAGAGAUGGUUGUCCUUCUGGAAGGUUAUCCCAUCUCCACAGAGGAACUCUGGAGCUCUGUCAGCGACCAUCAGGUUUUCAGGCACCUCCCUUCCACCCCGAUUUCUUGGUACCCUUCCCCAGAUCUUUGCCAUGACACAAUCCUGUCUCGGAGCUCUACGGACCAUUCCUUGGCUUCAUGGCUUCGUUUUUGCUUAACAUGCACUGUCAAAUGUGGGACCUUAUAUAUUCCAAAUCAUGUCCAAUCAAUUGAAUUUACCACAGGUGGACUCCAAUCAAGUUGUAGAAACAUCUCAAGGAUGAUCAAUGGAAACAAGAUGCACUUGAGCUCAAUUUCAAGUCUCAUAGCAUAAGGUCUGAAUAAUUAUGUAUGUAAGGUAUUACAUUUUUGAUUUUUUUUAAUAAAUUUGCAAACAUUUCUACACUUUUUUUUCACUUUGUCAUUAUGGGGUAUUGUGUGUAGAUUGCUGAGGAACUUUUUUUAUUUAAUCCAUUUCAGAAUAAAGCUGUAAAUUAACAAUGUGGAAAAAUUCUAGGCGUCUGAAUACUUUCCGAAUGUACUCUGUAUAUAUAGAAAUCAAAGAUUAUUCUUUUUUUUAUAUGCAACCAUUUAAACUCAUUUAUUCUCAUUAGCAUGAGAAGCAAAAACAUAUUUGAUCUAAAAGUGGAUAUUUUCCUUCCAAAAACAUUUCUUCCACGCUGGAAUCAGAACUGUGCUCACUCAGAGUCCUCAUCCAUUAGUUCUGUGUCACUCUCCCGGUCAAUUUCUGCAAUAAUGUCAUCCAAAUUUGUAUACUUGGUCUUCGAUUUAGCUUUUCCACUCUUACAUGCUGACCACACCGCUCGCGUCGUGAAAUAAAUUAGCAAAAUUAAUUUACACAAAUGUUAUUCAAUCAUUGCACCAACACUGAUCGCGUGUGUCAACGAGCGUCUGCGUAGCCAGGCCCUAAAAUAGAACUUGGUUCUAUUUGUGACACUUGAUGCUUUGCAAGUCCUGCCUCUCCCAUCUUCUCAUUGGUUUUUGGAGCAUUUACCCAUGUGGGUGAUUGAAAGAUUAACUGAGGUCCACACUCCAAUCCAGUUGGUAGUGGUAAUGCACAUUAAAGUUGGUUGCCAACUGCCAUAUAAAGUCCAAAGAAGAAGAAGAAGCCUGAAGAAGGCGAGAUUACUAGAAACAAACAUUUACCCUUUUAUCUGUGGAUUAAUUAUUGGAGUCGAGGACCUUGUGCAUUUCAGGAUGACACAUCAGAGCAAGAUUACUGAAUGUGUAGCACUUCUCUCAUCGUUUAAAAACAAGAAAUGGACAGUGACGGUGGUAAUGGGGGAUACCUAGUCAUUUUUUUUGCGUCAGCAUUGCAUGCGAUCAUCAUUCUCAAAGCCUCUGCCUGGAAAAUAUAUGUCCUGCACAAUUUUUCCCCUCAUAAAGCUCUUUUGUGGAAUAAUUCAGACAUAACUGUAAGGAAUAAGUAAUUGUUCUACCCCAGCUGGCAUGAAAGGAAUAUUGACUUUGUCCUUGAUAUUUUCGACAACAAGGGUAAUAUUCUCACAUAUGAACAAUUUAUAACAUUGAACGAUUUUCCAAUACAUUUCAGAGUUUAUUUCUGUGAUCAAAGCCGUUCCCAGUGGUCUAACUACACUUUAUGAAAAGUCAUCUUAAUUUUGGGAAUGAUCACAAAGUUUAUCCAGAACUCAGAUUGGAAGGUGUGGGCUUACUUGAGAAAUCUUGCUGUAAUAAAUAUAUAAGACAAAUUCUUCAUUCACAAAACCAACUUACUUGUAAACUUGUAAAUUUGUGUCCGAAUUUUGGGAAAACCUUGCACGGUACUUAUUUACCAUUAUGAACACUGCCUAUAAUUUUAACAUAAAAUAUAUAAUAUGUUACUAUUGCAAUGAUAACAAAACCACUGAAAUGAUUGUUAUUUUUUUCAUUCUUGUUGCCAAAUACUUUCUACACAAACAAAAAUUCCAAAAUUCUACACCAAAAUUACCAAUUUUUCUGAUUGAAUUUA